CCUACGGGAGGCUGCAGUGGGGAAUAUUGGACAAUGGGGGGAACCCUGAUCCAGCCAUGCCGCGUGUGUGAAGAAGGCCCUCGGGUUGUAAAGCACUUUCAGUGAGGAAGAACGCCUGGUGGUUAAUACCCAUCAGGAAAGACAUCACUCACAGAAGAAGCACCGGCUAACUCCGUGCCAGCAGCCGCGGUAAUACGGAGGGUGCAAGCGUUAAUCGGAAUUACUGGGCGUAAAGCGCGCGUAGGUGGCUUGAUAAGCCGGUUGUGAAAGCCCCGGGCUCAACCUGGGAACGGCAUCCGGAACUGUCAAGCUAGAGUGCAGGAGAGGAAGGUAGAAUUCCCGGUGUAGCGGUGAAAUGCGUAGAGAUCGGGAGGAAUACCAGUGGCGAAGGCGGCCUUCUGGACUGACACUGACACUGAGGUGCGAAAGCGUGGGUAGCAAACAGGAUUAGAUACCCCUGUAGUC
rnacentral:rRNA from 1 species